rnacentral:rRNA from 1 species
UACAGAGGGUGCAAGCGUUGUUCGGAAUUAUUGGGCGUAAAGGGCGCGUAGGCGGUUCGGCAAGUCUCUAGUGAAAUCUCUGGGCUCAACUCAGAGUCUGCUGGGGAAACUGCCGGGCUUGAGUGUGGGAGAGGAGAGUGGAAUUCCCGAUGUAGCGGUGAAAUGCGUAGAUAUCGGGAGGAACACCUGUGGCGAAAGCGGCUCUCUGGACCACAACUGACGCUGAGGCGCGAAGGCUAGGGGAGCAAACAGG